GACGAACGCUGGCGGCGUGCUUAACACAUGCCAGUCGAACGGUGAAGCUCCAGCUUGCUGGAGUGGAUCAGUGGCGAACGGGUGAGUAACACGUGAGCAACCUGCCCCUGACCCUGGAAUAAGCGCUGGAAACGGCGUCUAAUACUGGAUACGAGAAGGGUCCGCAUGGGCACUUUCUGGAAAGUUUUUCGGUUGGGGAUGGGCUCGCGGCCUAUCAGCUUGUUGGUGAGGUAAUGGCUCACCAAGGCGACGACGGGUAGCCGGCCUGAGAGGGCGACCGGCCACACUGGGACUGAGACACGGCCCAGACUCCUACGGGAGGCAGCAGUGGGGAAUAUUGCACAAUGGGCGAAAGCCUGAUGCAGCGACGCCGCGUGAGGGAUGACGGCCUUCGGGUUGUAAACCUCUUUCAGCAGGGAAGAAGCGAAAGUGACGGUACCUGCAGAAGAAGCACCGGCUAACUACGUG
rnacentral:rRNA from 1 species